AUGACUCUUCACAUUCACGUGAAAGAGCUUCUUCUCCAACGAUUCCACUCAGCAGCCGCUAUCACCUCUCAAACCAAAUCGACGGAAAACUCAACGGCCUCAUCUCCGCUAUCUCACAUUCUCAAUCUCCGUCUGUUCUUGAUUCCGCCUUCUUCAACUACUUCAAUCUCCUCCGAUUCGGAUUUCGAUUCAAAAGUUUAUCUUGGCUUUGGUCUCAAUGGCUGUAAUAAUCAGCUUUUGAUGGAGCAAUGGUUUUGA